GGACAGAUGUGGGAAUCCCAGCAGUGAGAUACUGGCAGAGGCGCACAUCUGGAAUCCACGGAGCAGAGCUGAGCUGAGCUGAGCUGUGUGUGUUAGGCUCACAGGGCUCUUGAUCCAAGAACCACCAAACCAGAGAGAUAUCACGCUGGAAAUGAGAUUCAGCUACAGUCUGACGUGAAUUUACGCUCAGCAUCUGACAGACUGACACCCCCGUCUCCCCGUCUCCCUUGGGGUUGAUUUUUCUCUCCUGUGUGUGUGGGGGGCAUUAAGGGGGCACGGCUCACCCUGCUCACUGUCUCUGUCUGCUUUUCUCAUGAUACUUGUACAGUGAGUGCUUUUGCUGUGUUUCAUGAUGUUACCUUUGGAACAGAGAAACACAGUAAAUUUUUCCAUGGGGAAAAAUUCUA